UUAAUACGCUAUAUUUUUACUUAAUACUGGUUUGCAAGGCUUUUCAUUUUAUCAUUGUGUAAAAGUAAAAUAUGUUACUUUAGCGUUUUUGGUAUACUAGGAUAUUUAACUAGCUGAACUUAGAACUGAACACUUGAGAUGGUAAUAUAAAUAAAUGAGGUUGUGUACACAGAUUGGUGUAGAAGAAGGUGGAGGAAUUGAGAGUUUAAACUAGCAAGACAUCUGAUACUUGGGUCAUGUCAUCAUUUCGUUUUUUGCUCUUUUGUACUGGAUGUAUAGAAUAUGAUCACAAGGUGUGAAGAAUAAUGAGAACAUGUGUAUCCUAUAUAUUGUUGAUAAUGAGUUAAUGAUACAAAAGAAACAGCAGCGAGUUUUUUCUAUUAACUGUAAAGACAGGUGAAAGAGCUGUUGGUAAUGGAAACAAAAAUACACAUGCAAGUACAGCAGGGAACCAUAAGGCUAACAAAAAGUUUUAUGUAAG
rnacentral:misc_RNA from 1 species